rnacentral:rRNA from 1 species
GAUGAACGCUAGCGACAGGCUUAACACAUGCAAGUCGAGGGGCAGCGGGGGCGUAGCAAUACGCCUGCCGGCGACCGGCGCACGGGUGAGUAACACGUAUGCAACCUGCCCGUCACAGGGGGAUAAGCGGAAGAAAUUCCGUCUAAUACCGCGCAGCACCUGCGGAGGGCAUCCUCUGCAGGUUAAAGAAUUUCGGUGACGGAUGGGCAUGCGGCGCAUUAGCUAGUUGGCGGGGUAACGGCCCACCAAGGCGACGAUGCGUAGGGGUUCUGAGAGGAAGGUCCCCCACACUGGUACUGAGACACGGACCAGACUCCUACGGGAGGCAGCAGUGAGGAAUAUUGGUCAAUGGGCGCGAGCCUGAACCAGCCAAGUCGCGUGAGGGAAGACGGCCCUACGGGUUGUAAACCUCUUUUGUCGGGGAGCAAAUGCGCCACGUGUGGCGCUGCGAGAGUACCCGAAGAAAAAGCAUCGGCUAACUCCGUGCCAGCAGCCGCCGUAA